GACGAACGCUGGCGGCGUGCUUAACACAUGCAAGUCGAACGAAGAGCGAUGGAAGCUUGCUUCUAUCAAUCUUAGUGGCGAACGGGUGAGUAACGCGUAAUCAACCUGCCCUUCAGAGGGGGACAACAGUUGGAAACGACUGCUAAUACCGCAUACGAUCUAAUCUCGGCAUCGAGGAUAGAUGAAAGGUGGCCUCUACA
rnacentral:rRNA from 1 species